GAUAAACGCUGGCGGCGUGCCUAAUACAUGCAAGUCGAGCGAACAGAUGAGGAGCUUGCUCCUCUGACGUUAGCGGCGGACGGGUGAGUAACACGUGGAUAACCUACCUAUAAGACUGGGAUAACUUCGGGAAACCGGAGCUAAUACCGGAUAAUAUAUUGAACCGCAUGGUUCAAUAGUGAAAGACGGUUUUGCUGUCACUUAUAGAUGGAUCCGCGCCGCAUUAGCUAGUUGGUAAGGUAACGGCUUACCAAGGCAACGAUGCGUAGCCGACCUGAGAGGGUGAUCGGCCACACGGGAACUGAGACACGGUCCAGACUCCUACGGGAGGCAGCAGUAGGGAAUCUUCCGCAAGGGGCGAAAGCCUGACGGAGCAACGCCGCGUGAGUGAUGAAGGUCUUCGGAUCGUAAAACUCUGUUAUUAGGGAAGAACAAAUGUGUAAGUAACUAUGCACGUCUUGACGGUACCUAAUCAGAAAGCCACGGCUAACUACGU
rnacentral:rRNA from 1 species